UGGGGAAUAUUGCACAAUGGGGGAAACCCUGAUGCAGCGACGCCGCGUGAGCGAAGAAGGCUUUCGAGUCGUAAAGCUCUGUCCUAUGAGAAGAUAAUGACGGUAUCAUAGGAGGAAGCCCUGGCUAAAUACGUGCCAGCAGCCGCGGUAAUACGUAUGGGGCGAGCGUUGUCCGGAAUUAUUGGGCGUAAAGGGUACGUAGGCGGUUUUUUAAGUCAGGUGUCAAAGCGUGGAGCUUAACUCCAUUAAGCACUUGAAACUGAAAGACUUGAGUGAAGGAGAGGAAAGUGGAAUUCCUAGUGUAGCGGUGAAAUGCGUAGAGAUUAGGAAGAACACCGGUGGCGAAGGCGACUUUCUGGACGAAAACUGACGCUGAGGCGCGAAAGCGUGGGGAGCAAACAGG
rnacentral:rRNA from 1 species